rnacentral:lncRNA from 1 species
CUUUCUAAGGAUUUUCAUGGUUUAGUUAAGACAUAAAGCAUACAUGUUAUCAUAUAUAAACUUGAUUAGCCAUUUCAAUAGCUAAUCAUUCUCAAACAUUUCCAUUCCAUCCAUAGCCAUAUCGUAAGAUUAUACACACAAAAUGAUUGGAAUGCUAUGCAUGCCAUAUUUCCAAAAAUUUCCAGUCAUUAUACCGCGAUUGUCCAGUGAUAGUGUGAGCGUGCCUCCGACCGUCCCGAUCUCCAAAUUGACUUGUCAAAACUACAAAAAAAUGAAAAGGAGGGAGUAAGCAUAGAUGCUUAGUAAGUCCACAUGCAAAUAACAAAUAAUUUAGCAAAGCAAUUAUACCAACCAACAUUAGCAUAAUAUCACCAAAACAUGUAUCACAUUUCUAUUCAUCAUUCAUCAUCUUACCAUAUUAUUGUUGUCGUAUCAAGUCUCAACCCGAGGGUUAAGUACAUACAUGUUCAAAGUGCCCAUUCCACAACACUUACCAAUACGUCACUUGCAUCUUGAGUAUUCUUCCAUUUCACUAGAAUUUUACCCGUUGAACACAUUGGAAUAUAACUCGGAUACAUGGAAAGUUUGCACAUAAGUGCCACAUAUGUAGCCAAGCUACCAUGUAACCCGCCCAUAAGCGAACUCGGACUCAACUCAACUAGCUCGGGCGUUCGCAUCCAUAAGUGAACUCGGACUCAACUCAACGAGCUCAAUGCCUAGUUACAUCUCACGAACUCGGACUCAACUCAACGAGCUCGGACAUUCGCAUCCAUAAGUGAACUCGGAAUCAACUCAACGAGCUCGGAUGCCCAAAUAUCCUAGUCUAUUCCUAAGGUUCAACGGGACUUUCUCGUUCGUACUCCUUUACCAUUCUCCUUGGAAUACCAAUAAUGAUACUUCAGUAGUCUUUCACAUUUUCACAUAAUUCAUAAAAUUUUUGCAUGUUGUCCAAAAAUGACCACAAAGCAUAGAAUUGCAUGAUAACAAUCAUAAUAUCUUAUAAAUAGCAUUAAAUGAUUUAAAAUAACGGUUAUAUUACAAUAUUUACAUAUGAACUUAGCUCGAUACAAAAUGAGAAUAGUCGAUCCUAUUCCUCGUAAACUUUAUUUUUCCCCCGAUCUCGACUCGAAUCUCUUUUCUCUUAAUCUAUAAUACCAAAUUAAUUUAUUUAAUACACACAUUCAUCAAAACAGCCCCUAGUACGAACUUUGGCAAUAUAACAGCCUAAUUUUCAGUGGUGUCAGAAAUGGUGAUUUGAGAUCACUAAAUUCGACAAAUAAGAUUGAACAAGAUAGUAAUUUAAUAUUUAUGAGUCAAGUAAGAAUUUAGAAGAAUUUGUGAAAUGGUGAAAUUAGUGAAUUAAAAGAAUUUAUUAGGUCAAACGGGUCAAAAAUGAGGUAUCGAGACCUCAAAGUUGAAAAUCAAGCUAUAAAUAUUUUUAUAAAUAUUUAUGGAGUGUCAUUGAGUUAGUAUUAAAGUUUCGUUAGAAAAUUUUAACGUUUGGAUGGCUAAUUAAUUAAAAAGAACUAAAUUGAAAAUAGCACAAAAUUUGUUAAAUUGUGAGUAAAUAGCUUAAGUAUUUAAAAAGAUGGAUUUAAAGAGCAAUUAGACCCAAAGGUUAAUGGCUGGACGGUUUGGGUAUGAAAUAAGCAAGAAAACAAUGUGAACAAGGGGCAAAAUUGGAAAUAGCAUAAAAGUUAAUAGUUAAAUAAUGAUGUAAUUGAAAAAUCUAGACAUUUCUUCAUAUUUUCUCAGCCAAAAUGCCAUAGAAGGUCUGGAGAAAGCUGGUUUUUUAUAUUUUUACAUCAAGUGAGUUUAAUUCUUACUUUUCUUGAUAAUUUUUAUGUUUUUAUGACUUUUACAAUUAGGUCCACUUGUAGAAUUCAUUAGUUUUUGAUUUUAUGGGUGAAAUUGGAAGUUACCCUGGAUGGAUAAGGGAAUUUUAUGAUGAAUUAUUAUGAAAUUUAAGUUCUAAUUUCAUAUUAAGGUGGUUUUAUUAAGUGAUUUUGAUAGGAAAUGAUAUUUAGGACCUAAUUGUGAAAAAGUUGUGAAUUGAAGGUUUCUGUUGAAAUUAAUAAUAUAAAAGGUUUUGAAAUAGUUUAUAAUGAUAAAAUAAAGUGUUAAUUGAGAAAAAUUAGUUCAAUUGAUGGGUGAAUUGAGCAGGGACUAAAUUGUGAAAAUUGUAAAUUUUGGGGUAAAAGUGAAAUUUCGAAAUUUGAACAGCAUAAAUUGUGAAGUGAAAUAGAAUUGAAAUGGAUGCUAAUGAAGGAAUGAUUUUAUAAUUAUAGAUCAAGAAAACGAACUGAAUCGUGGAAAGGAGAAAAUUCAAGAAUAGUCCCUGAAUUUCUACGACUUUUGCAAAUUAGUCCAGGUAAGUUCAUAUGGCAAAGUUCAAUAUUUUGUUAUGAAAAUCUUAUGAUUGUUAAAAUAUUUUAUUGUUGAUGAAUACUAUCAAUUUGCAUUAACUAAUAAAUAAUGUGUAACUAAAAGUACAAAUUAGUAGGAACAGUGGAUUUGAGUGCUUCUAUUCUGUGACCCUGAUGAAUUGACGAAAAAUAUGUGAUAAGUGCGCCCGUUUAAGACCAUAGCUGGGCUAUGGCAUCGGUGCAAUGUGAUAAUGUGACUCCGUAUAAGACCAUAGCUGGGCUAUGGCAUCGGUAUAAUGUAAUAAUGUGAUUCCGUAUAAGACCAUGUCUGGGAUAUGGCUUCGGUAUGAUAUGUGAACCGUGUAAGACCAUGGCAAGGCUAUGGCUUCGGUGUGUGAUGCGUAACAAUGUGAAAGUCCAUAGUUUACUAUGGCAAUGUGAUAAUGAAGCACUCAAUUCCCUUAUUGUUCCCUAAUUUGACAAUGAAGUAAAUGAGAAAUGGGCCUAAGGGAGUUAAAUUGUGAGUAGCCAUAUGGAAAUUAUUCCAAUGAGUUAUUAAUGAAAUUGUGAUUUGGAGGAUGAAAUAGUUAAACUAAUAGAUAUAUGAUUGUGUACGAUAUUUGAUAUGAUUUGUGUUUUUAUGCCUAUGAGCUUACUAAGCUUCAAUAAGCUUACUUGUGUGUGUUUAAUAUUUUUAUGUAGAUUGACUUGAAGUGAAGUCGGUAGAUCGGAUCAACACAACAGGGCACACUAUUCAGAUCAAUUCCAGUAGUUUUUGUUUUAUGUUUAAAGAUUUAUAUGGCAUGUAUAGAGUUUGAAUGAAUUGAAGUAAAGAUGUUAUAAACUAGUUAACAAUAUUUGUACUAAAACAGUUUUUGAUAAGUAGCAGUAGUUUGACUUUGAAAAAUCACUAAAAAUAGUAGAAAUGGAAUUAAAUAAUGAAUAAGUUAUGGAAUCGAAUCUUGAUGAGUCUAUUUUCAUAUGGAAGAAGCAAAACAGGUAUAUGAGCUAUAUUUUAUGAGAUGUUUAAAUUUUUGUGAAAUAGGGCCAGAGUAAUUUCUGGAUCCCCUGUUCUGACUUUGGAAAUUCACCAUAAAUUUUACAAAGAAAAUUAGAAGUCAUACUUUAUAUGUACAGAUUCCUUAUUGAGUCUAGUUUUAUUAGAAACAAACGGCAUAGUCAUUAAAUCUCUGUACAGAGAGAUAUCUGAUUCGUAAUACACAAAGGUCAGAGUAGUCAAACCCUGAAACAGGGGAUAUUUUAACUAAUAAACUGUACUAAUUGGCUUGACCAAAAAUUCUAGAAAAAAAUUGGUAACUAGAUAUAUGAGUAUAAAUUCAGGGAAAAUUUACGGAUUUGGAUUUCGAGUUUUAUAACUCGAUAUAUGAAUUAUUUAGCAACUAUGACGCAGUUGGACAGCUUGUCUGAAAAGUAUGAUAUAAAUUAUCUAAAUUUGGUGCUCAAAUAAGUUUAGUAGUGCCUUGUGCUCGACUCCGGCAAUGGUCUCGGGUAAGGGGCGUUACAGGAAAAAUUACCAUUUUGCCCCUAAACUUUCACAUAUUUACACUUUUUCCUCAAGGCUCGUAAAUUAAACCUUAUCCUAUUUUCUUAUGUUUUAUGACAUGCUGAUCAUUUUUCCCUUCUAUAGCAACAUCAAAUUCACACUCUAACAUGUAUUUAUGAAUAUUAGGUAUUUUUACCGAUUAUAUCAUUUUACUCGUUUUUACGAAAAAUCACUUAGCAAAAGUUGUUUAACACAAUCUCAAACGUCAUUUUCUACCAUAAAACAUCAACAUAUCAUCCAUGGGUAAAAUUUUAAAUAUAAACCCUAGCUCAAAAUAUUGGUAGAAAUAGGUAAACCGAGCUACGAGGAUUUCAAAAAUGUAAAGAACAUUAAAAACGGGCAUAGAAAUCACUUACAAUCAAGGCUUUAAAGUGUUGAAACCCUAGCUAUGGUGGAGAGCAAAAUUCAGCAGCAAC